CACCAUUUUGUGCAGGCCUCCAGCCCUCAUGAACCACAUCUCCGGCGAUAAAGCACCAGACAAAUCACAAGGACAAUUGACAGGUCUCUUGAAGAGCAUGGGUUACACCGAAGACCAAGUGUACAAGUUCUAGGCAUUCUUUUAUUCUCAGGACAAGAACAACACAAUACAAUACAAAGCUCUUUAAAGUCA